rnacentral:rRNA from 1 species
AGUGAACGCUGGCGGUAGGCCUAACACAUGCAAGUCGAACGGCAGCACAGUAAGAGCUUGCUCUUACGGGUGGCGAGUGGCGGACGGGUGAGGAAUACAUCGGAAUCUACUUUUUCGUGGGGGAUAACGUAGGGAAACUUACGCUAAUACCGCAUACGACCAACGGGUGAAAGCAGGGGAUCUUCGGACCUUGCGCGAUUGAAUGAGACGAUGUCGGAUUAGCUAGUUGGCGGGGUAAAGGCCCACCAAGGCGACGAUCCGUAGCUGGUCUGAGAGGAUGAUCAGCCACACUGGAACUGAGACACGGUCCAGACUCCUACGGGAGGCAGCAGUGGGGAAUAUUGGACAAUGGGCGCAAGCCUGAUCCAGCCAUACCGCGUGGGUGAAGAAGGCCUUCGGGUUGUAAAGCCCUUUUGUUGGGAAAGAAAAGCAGCAGGUUAAUACCCCGCUGUUCUGACGGUACCCAAAGAAUAAGCACCGGCUAACUUCGUG